ACGCUCACCUUUGAUGAGCUUCGCGUCGAUGAGGUGAACCGCGCCACAACGGUGCACAGUUACACGGGUGGCAAGGGCACCAACUUCUGCCGCGCCUCUGCGUGCUACAAGGAAUGCCCGCACUUCUGCAGGACUGUAUUGCACACAUUUGUCGGUGGCAAGACAGGUGAGCGUGUGAUCGACCUGCUCCAUCAGGAGGGUAUCGCGGUUUAUGCUGUUACUGUGCCGGCAGAGACACGAACCUGCAUCACCUGCCUCGACACCCAGAACAGCACAAUGACGGAGCUGAUCGAGCCCUCGGCGGCUGUACCGGAAGAUGCUGCAAAGGAAAUGGACAGAGCACUCCUCAAGGCGCUCGAGCAUGCGGGUGGCAUGGCGAUCAUGGGCAGCUUGCCAGACGGCAGCAGCCCCGACCUCUACACCCGCUGGACGGAGAUGGCGGCGGCGGCGCAGAAGCCUGUUCUCAUCGACGCCGGCAAAGGGAUCGAGGCUUCGCUGAAGGUGCCAGGCGCCCACUCGAUCCUGAAAGUGAACAUGGAGGAGCUGAACAAGCUCACGGGUCAGUCCACACCGGAGAGUGCGUUCGAGUACGCUAUGCAAAUGUGGACAGUGCGUGUGCUGGCCGUCACCGAUGGCCCUCGCUCUGCGUAUAUCCAAGAGCGGGGCCGGCCUCUUCAAGUUAUCCACCUACCAAAAGUGGACGGCGUGGUGAGCCCGCUCGGGGCCGGCGACACGGCCGAUGCCGUUUUUCUCGCCGAGUACAUUCACGGCACAACCCCGUUAGAAGCGUUCCGGUUGGCCCUGGCUGCGGCGUCCGCCAACUGCCUUCGAAAGGAGGCCGCCGUCUUUGCGCAACAUGAGAUGAGGCGUAUCGCCGACGGCAUCACGAUCAGGUGAUCGCGCCGACACAGCUCGUCCACACGCGCAUGAUGGUGCCCCGCACAUGCCCACACCGCAGUCCCCCCCCCCCCCCCCAAAGUAAGGAGAACAAAAAGCUACACCCACGAGGAGAGCGCGGUUUGGGAAGAGGAGCAACACCCACAACGCAACGCCAGCGUCUCCUUCUACUCCCCCAGCUCUCUCUCUGUUUCGCGUGCUCUUCUUUGUUGGUUCUCCUCACCCAUCCGGCGCACUGCAUGCGCCCAUCCUUCCGCCUUGGUAGAUUGUGAUCCUCCAAUCCUCUCGCUCAUCCCCUUCUCCUCGCACCGUCAACCCUCUACAUGACGCACCCUGGGUAUGUGCGUGUGUGUGUAUGGUGCCGACAUGGUUACUCAAAAACAUCAGAGUCAGGCAGCUUCGCGGCAUGUUGCACGGCGGGACGCUCCCUCUAGCGCCGAGCCUCUCACCCAGCUACCCUUCACGCAUACACACAGUGGCUCGUCAGGGUAGGGGCGAGGAAUCGAAGCAGAGACAUGCAUGCGUCCCCUUCUCUGCCUUCCCCUGCUUCGAUUCCGUCCUGUGCUGCCUCUUUUCGACUUAUCUCAGGUGUGCCCCGCUCCACACCCACACCCACACACCCCUCCUCCUGCUCCGCUGACUCCGCAUCUCUUGCUCUCUCUCUCUGCACUACUUCCUACACACGCGGCCAACUCAUUACUUGUUGCUCCCGUAAUUACUCGUUUCCCAACCCAAACGCACCCGUGCAUCCACGCGCAAG
rnacentral:misc_RNA from 1 species